rnacentral:tRNA from 1 species
AAGAGUUUAGUUUAAAUAAAAAUGUUAGAUUGUAAAUCUAAAGUUAUUAACUCUUG